rnacentral:ribozyme from 1 species
UGCCAUGCAACGCCGAUCCCCACCUCCGCGAGCUACCGGCUGGGUUACGAGCAACCUUGGUCGUAUGCUGACAAGGACGG